rnacentral:rRNA from 1 species
UGGGGAAUAUUGCACAAUGGGCGCAAGCCUGAUGCAGCCAUGCCGCGUGUAUGAAGAAGGCCUUCGGGUUGUAAAGUACUUUCAGCGGGGAGGAAGGGAGUAAAGUUAAUACCUUUGCUUAUUGACGUUACCCGUAGAAGAAGCACCGGCUAACUCCGUGCCAGCAGCCGCGGUAAUACGGAGGGUGCAAGCGUUAAUCGGAAUUACUGGGCGUAAAGCGCACGCAGGCGGUUUGUUAAGUCAUAUGUGAAAUCCCCGGGCUCAACCUGGGAACUGCAUCUGAUACUGGCAAGCUUGAGUCUCGGAGAGGGGGGUAGAAUUCCAGGUGUAGCGGUGAAAUGCGUAGAGAUCUGGAGGAAUACCGGUGGCGAAGGCGACCCCCUGUACGAAGACUGACUCUCAGGUGCGAAAGCGUGGGGAGCAAACAGG